rnacentral:lncRNA from 1 species
CCUGAGGUGGGGGCUGUGGGUACCCUGCUGGGCCCUGGGGCUGCAGUAGGCGGGAAGGAGUGCAGACCUGAGGUAGGCUGCUCACUCAGAGUUGGAGCUUUGCUUGACACGGUUCCCAUGGGGACGGCUGUGGGCACACGCUACCUGUGGUCAGAUGCCCACAUUAAACCUGCCCUGUAGUUCUGGUAGCUCCUCUUGGGCUCAGGGCCUUUAGAAGAAAGACUGAGUUUUUGGUGCCUUAGCCUCUCAAACCUUCCCCACCCCAACCAAAGGUAGAUUUGAGAACUUGGGGCUGUGAUGUUUGUUUCAUGAAUAGAGCAUUCCCUCUGUGCCUGUGCCUAGAGACACUAAGAUGACUGAAAUGCAGUCACCAUCCUUAGGGAGGGGCAAGAAAGACAGGCCAUAGAGCUGAAAAUUACAACACAGUGCAGCCUGGCAACAGUGGAACCCAGUUCACUUGUGGAGAACACACAUGCUGCAGUAUCACGAGGCCCAUGAAGUGACUAGGCUGAGCCAACCACCCAGGAUGAGAGCCAAUGCCAACUCCUGUCUGUGUGAGUUUGUGUUAUUCUAGGUAAUGUCACCGCAAGACACAUUAACGUGGUCAUUUUCAGAAUUAGCUGUUCAGUCUUUGUUUCCCCACUAGGCUGUGAGCUCCUUGCACAUGGUCAGUGCUGAGAUCCAUCAGCUCUGGGAAAAUUUCAGAGUAGGAGGGAGCAGCACUCCACGCAGAGGAAGGGGUUCCUGAAAACACUGGAUGCAAGAACAUUCCCCAUGAAGUCACAGCGUGUGAGGGUAGCUGGGCACACCUGAGGUGCAUCAGUGAGCAGCGAGCACACCAGAGUCGACAUCUCCUGCAUUUUCAGCAGCAGAAGGGAGUGCAGCCUACUUCACCAGUCUGCUUGCCACCGAACACUUGGCUGUUAAAAAAGAGCCCUUUAAAACCGUUUGAUGUUUUGGACUAAAUAAAGCUAUGCUCCCACUCCAAUUGAGCUUAUAAUGGAGUCUAAUUUUAUA